rnacentral:rRNA from 1 species
AGGCAACGAUCAGUAGGGGUUCUGAGAGGAAGGUCCCCCACAUUGGAACUGAGACACGGUCCAAACUCCUACGGGAGGCAGCAGUGAGGAAUAUUGGUCAAUGGACGAGAGUCUGAACCAGCCAAGUAGCGUGCAGGAAGACGGCCCUAUGGGUUGUAAACUGCUUUUAUAAGGGAAUAAAGUGAGAGUCGUGACUCUUUUUGCAUGUACCUUAUGAAUAAGGACCGGCUAAUUCCGUGCCAGCAGCCGCGGUAAUACGGAAGGUCCGGGCGUUAUCCGGAUUUAUUGGGUUUAAAGGGAGCGUAGGCCGGAGAUUAAGCGUGUUGUGAAAUGUAGACGCUCAACGUCUGCACUGCAGCGCGAACUGGUUUCCUUGAGUACGCACAAAGUGGGCGGAAUUCGUGGUGUAGCGGUGAAAUGCUUAGAUAUCACGAAGAACUCCGAUUGCGAAGGCAGCUCACUGGAGCGCAACUGACGCUGAAGCUCGAAAGUGCGGGUAUCGAACAGGAUUAGAUACCCUGGUAGUCCGCACGGUAAACGAUGGAUGCCCGCUGUUGGUCUGAAUAGGUCAGCGGCCAAGCGAAAGCAUUAAGCAUCCCACCUGGGGAGUACGCCGGCAACGGUGAAACUCAAAGGAAUUGACGGGGGCCCGCACAAGCGGAGGAACAUGUGGUUUAAUUCGAUGAUACGCGAGGAACCUUACCCGGGCUUGAAUUGCAGAGGAAGGAUUUGGAGACAAUGACGCCCUUCGGGGCCUCUGUGAAGGUGCUGCAUGGUUGUCGUCAGCUCGUGCCGUGAGGUGUCGGCUUAAGUGCCAUAACGAGCGCAACCCCCCUCCUUAGUUGCCAUCAGGUUAAGCUGGGCACUCUGGGGACACUGCCACCGUAAGGUGUGAGGAAGGUGGGGAUGACGUCAAAUCAGCACGGCCCUUACGUCCGGGGCUACACACGUGUUACAAUGGCAGGUACAGAGAGACGGUCCCUUGCAAAACGGAUCAAAUCCUUAAAGCCUGUCUCAGUUCGGACUGGGGCCUGCAACCCGACCCCACGAAGCUGGAUUCGCUAGUAAUCGCGCAUCAGCCAUGGCGCGGUGAAUACGUUCCCGGGCCUUGUACACACCGCCCGUCAAGCCAUGAAAGCCGGGGGCGCCUAAAGUCCGUGACCGUAAGGGGCGGCCUAGAGCGAAACUGGUAAUUGGGGCUAAGUCGUAACAAGGUA